UUACUUCCCUGGUAGGGAGGUACCAUGAUCGAGAAGGUAGUUUUCAUCUCUCUCCCAUGGGUCUGCCAGCCCUAUGCUUUCCUCAGUUAUGGAGAACUCCACUGCAUAAUUUGUGGUAGCUGCGAACUGUGCUCUUGGUCUUCCCUA
rnacentral:snRNA from 1 species